rnacentral:rRNA from 1 species
UUAAAUGUAAAUAUAAAAAACUAAGUGAUUAAUAGUUAAGUUCUUUAAAGCUAAAUAAUUUGGCGGUAUUUUAAACUUUUCAGAGGAACCUGUUCUAUAAUUGAUAAUCCACGAUAGAAUAAACUUUAAUUAGAAAUUUUUAUAUCGUCGUUGACAAAUAUUUUUAAAGAAUAUAAUAUUUAAAAUUUUUUUCAGAAAAUAAAUCAGAUCAAGGUGAAGUUUAUAUUAAAGAAGUAAUGGGUUACAUUAAAUUUUAUUUAUGGAUAUUUAAAUGAAAAAUAAGUUGAAAUUGGAUUUGAAAGUAAUUAAUUAAACUUUUUUUUAAUGAUUUAGCACUAAAAUAUGC